GAUGAACGCUGGCGGCGUGCCUAAUACAUGCAAGUCGAGCGAACAGACGAGGAGCUUGCUCCUCUGACGUUAGCGGCGGACGUGUGAGUAACACGUGGAUAACCUACCUAUAAGACUGGGAUAACUUCGGGAAACCGGAGCUAAUACCGGAUAAUAUAUUGAACCGCAUGGUUCAAUAGUGAAAGACGGUUUUGCUGUCACUUAUAGAUGGAUCCGCUCCGCAUUAGCUAGUUGGUAAGGUAACGGCUUACCAAGGCGACGAUGCGUAGCCGACCUGAGAGGGUGAUCGGCCACACUGGAACUGAGACACGGUCCAGACUCCUACGGGAGGCAGCAGAAGGGAAUCUUCCGCAAUGGGCGAAAGCAUGACGGAGCAAAGCCGCGUGAGUGAUGAAGGUCUUAGGAUCGUAAAACUCUGUUAUUAGGGAAGAACAAAUGUGUAAGUAAAUAUGAACGUAUUGACGGUACCUAAUCAGAAAGCCACGGCUAACUACGUG
rnacentral:rRNA from 1 species